CAUGCCUACGGGGCGCAGCAGUGAGGAAUAUUGGUCAAUGGCCGAGAGGCUGAACCAGCCAAGUCGCGUGAGGGAUGACGGCCCUACGGGUUGUAAACCUCUUUUGUCGGGGAGCAAAAGCCGGACGUGUCCGGCUGUGAGAGUACCCGAAGAAAAAGCAUCGGCUAACUCCGUGCCAGCAGCCGCGGUAAUACGGAGGAUGCGAGCGUUAUCCGGAUUUAUUGGGUUUAAAGGGUGCGCAGGCGGAUUUUUAAGUCAUCGGUCAAAUCGUGUGGCUCAACCCCAUCCAGCCG
rnacentral:rRNA from 1 species